CCCAGUAGUAGUCAGCUGUACAGGCCAGCCCCAUGCCUGAUUUAGUGUUACACUGCUGGGAGAGAGAGGCUCAGCUAAUGUAACUUGCUCCAGCAGACACUGUUUUAGUGGCAGUUGGUGCGGAGCUGUGCCCCUCUGAGUGGGCUGCACCCAUACUGGGGCAACCCUAGUAGAAGGGCUAACAAA